GGACAUGCAGAGCAUUGGUAUAUAAGAUAUAAAUAGGGCGGGGCUUCUUCAUCGCACUCAGGAUGUGCCUACCCCUCCUACUUUCCCCAAAUGCAGGAAAUUCGACUGCAUAAUUUGUGAUCAUGGGGGUAUUGCACUGGCGUUCUC
rnacentral:snRNA from 1 species